CACAGAAGCUGUACUGUCAUUAAACAAAGCAAUGUAUCCAGAUCACUCAGAAUCUAUGCCUGUCAUGGGGAACAGGAGAAGAGGGUGAAUGAAGAGCCACGGCAUGGCAGGGGAGCCACUGCAAGGAUGCUGAAACUCGUGUGAACAGAGUUGCUACAGGCAGGCUGCCAUGGAACCUUGUGGGGGAAAGCACUGCCUCUUAGGGAUGGCAGUGAAAAUGGGACAAGAGGGCGGCAUUGCCUCCAGAUGUAAGAUGCAGUGCUUUGCCUUCCUCCUUGGUGCAUGGAGAGGGAAAGGGAUGCUGCUAUAAAGUUCCUGGCUGGACUUUGGCUUGAUAAGGCAUGGGCACCUUUGGGAGUAUGAGGGUGGGUGGUUUUGUGCACAUCUUCCAUGAGGAGCUGUUAGUAUUGGGGCAGAUGUUUCAAGUAUGGCAGACAAAGGAUGUUCUGCAUGGGGAAAUGUGGUGACAUCCAUUUCACAAGGACAGCUCACAUAGAUUGAGUGCUCAGGAAGGACCAGCACCAUACCCAGUGCCUGAUGUGUAUCAUCUCAAUUAGUCUUUGCCUCAGAUGCAAAAGGAAGCCGUCGCCAUCAUCAUCACCAUCAUCAUCCUCCUGUGCAGAUGGAAAGGCUGAAGCAUAGAGAGGUGACGGAGUCUGCCCAGGACUGCAAGCCUGCUGGUGGCAGAGCCAGUUUCCAGUGGAAUGAAGGUUGUCAUCCUCAGAUGGCAGGGUCACGUCCACAGCCCAGGAGGACCAGCAAAGCCUCUCGAGCCGAUGGCAGCUCAUAUUCUGCCUUGUCAGCUACUCCUCUCUUGGGCAACACUGGCUGCUUGUUGUGGCUCUCCCUGGGAUGGACAGUUGGCCCAGAAGGGUGGGCUGAAGUGUGUGCUGCCCCUGGAGCUGAGGUGCCCCAGCGCCUUCCCAGAGUGCUGCUGGGUCCAGGCCCAGAGGUCCGUGAGGACCUCACCAGCCCUGGGCAUGACUCCAGUAGCUGCACCUGAUGCAGGACACUCAGGGACAAGAAACAAAGAGAUGAGUCACAAACGGACACCACAGCCCACAGCCCCAGUUCUGAAAUCUCUGAGACACUCACAUGGAGGUACAGCCAUCAGGCAGAGGACGACACACAGAGAUCUCAUGUUCUCCUCAACAAGGGGCACGACUUUCCCAGUGGCCUCUCCAGGACAGAACAAGAAAAAAUAA
rnacentral:lncRNA from 1 species